AGUCCCAACUGGACAGUAUGGGAACUUCUUAUCCUUAUCCUCCUCAAGGCUAUCCUCCUCCGGUGGCGCCCCCGCCGCAAUACUAUUACCAGGGGCCUUCUCACCGCGAGAAAGGCUUUGCGGAAGGAUGUUUAGCUGGUCUGUGCUGCUGCUGGCUUCUAGAGAUUUGUUGCUGCUGUGGCCCGCAUAUGUUUCUGGGCUGUUAGUAUCAGUACUUUCUUAGUCUGUGAUAAUCAUAUAUUGACACCAUCAGUGCCUGAAACAUUUGCAAUUAUAGAGAGACAAUAGUUAAUCAUGUCUAGGAGCCAAAACUUGCUACCUUUCAUAAAAGGAGAAUUUUAGUCCUAGA